rnacentral:rRNA from 1 species
UGAUUAGAUAAGAGGAGGUUUUAGGUGUGGGGUAAGGUGAUUGUUUAUUGAUUGAUGUGUUAUUUUAAAAAUAAAAAAGUGAAAUUUAAUAUUUGUAUAGAAUAGAGCAUUUCGUUUAACAUUGAAGCCCAUAAGAGAUAGGGUUAAAAUAGGAUUAGAUACCCUGCUAUACUAUUUUGAAAUUAAUAAGCUCCUGGGUAGUAAUAGUUACUGUCUUGAAACCCAAAGAACUUGGCGGUAUCACAUUCUUCUUAGAGGAACCUGCUUCAUAAACGAUAAUCCCCGAAAUACCUUACUUUUUUUUGUGUAUCAGUUUGUAUACCGCCAUUAUUAGAUUGUUUCGAGAGAAAACUAUUGGAAUUAUUUAUUGAAUGUAUAUAUUAGGUCAAGGUGCAGCUUAUAAAAAAGUGUAAGUGGGUUACAGUUAAUUAAGUUAUUGGCUAAAAGGGUGAAAUACUUUUAAAAAUUGGAUUUAAUUGUAAUAUUAUUUUAUUAAGGUAAUUUGAUUUUAGCUCUGUGAUAUGUACACAUCGCCCGUCGCUCUCAUCUUAAAAU